rnacentral:rRNA from 1 species
CCCUUAGAUGUUCUGGGCUGCACGCGCGCUACACUGAUGCGCUCAACGAGUUUUAACCUUGCCUGGAAAGGUUGGGUAAUCUUUUUAAAACGCAUCGUGAUGGGGAUAGAUUAUUGCAAUUAUUAAUCUUCAACGAGGAAUUCCUAGUAAGCGCGAGUCAUCAGCUCGUGCUGAUUACGUCCCUGCCCUUUGUACACACCGCCCGUCGCUCCUACCGAUUGAAUGGUCCGGUGAAGCGUUCGGACCGUGGCCUUUGGACGGUUCGCCGUCUGUUGGCUGCGGGAAGUUCGUUAAACCUUAUCAUUUAGAGGAAGGAGAANUCGUANCA